rnacentral:rRNA from 1 species
GACGAACGUUGGCGGCGUGCCUAAUACAUGCAAGUCAACUGAAAUACCGGUAGCAAUACUGGUAUGGAGGUGGCGCACGGGUGAGUAACACGUAGGUAAUCUGCCUUCAGGUCUGACAUAACCCAUCGAAAGGUGAGCUAAUAUCAGAUGAUGCAGCGGCUUGACAUCAAGACAGUUGUUAAAGCUUCGGCGCCUGAAGAUGAGCCUGCGUCUGAUUAGCUAGUUGGCGGGGUAACGGCCACCAAGGCUGCGAUCAGUAGCUGGUCUGAGAGGAUGAUCAGUCACACUGGAACUGAGACACGGUCCACGACUCCUACGGGAGGCAGCAGUAAGGAAUAUUGCUCAAUGGCCGAAAGGCUGAAG